GCGGCGCGCUUACACAUGCAAGUCGAGCGAUGAAACUUUAACAGAACCCUUCGGGGCGAAGAUAAAGUGGAUUAGCGGCGGACGGGUGAGUAACACGUGAGUAACCUGCCUUAGACAUUGGGAUAGCCUCGGGAAACCGGGAUUAAUACCAAAUAAAAUCAUAAUGACACAUGUCAUAACGAUCAAAACUCCGGUGGUCUAAGAUGGACUCGCGUCCCAUUAGCUAGUUGGUAGAGUAAAAGCCUACCAAGGCGACGAUGGGUAGCCGGCCUGAGAGGGUGAACGGCCACAUUGGAACUGAGAAACGGUCCAAACUCCUACGGGAGGCAGCAGUGGGGAAUAUUGCACAAUGGAGGGAACUCUGAUGCAGCGACGCCGCGUGAACGAAGAAGGCUUUCGAGUCGUAAAGUUCUUUUAUAUGGGAAGAUAAUGACGGUACCAUAAGAAAAAGCCCCGGCUAACUACGUGCCAGCAGCCGCGGUAAUACGUAGGGGGCUAGCGUUGUCCGGAAUCACUGGGCGUAAAGGGUUCGCAGGCGGAAAUGCAAGUCAGAUGUAAAAGGCAGUAGCUUAACUACUGUAAGCAUUUGAAACUGCAUAUCUUGAGAAGAGUAGAGGUAAGUGGAAUUUUUAGUGUAGCGGUGAAAUGCGUAGAUAUUAAAAAGAAUACCGGUGGCGAAGGCGACUUACUGGGCUCAUUCUGACGCUGAGGAACGAAAGCGUGGGUAGCAAACAGGAUUA
rnacentral:rRNA from 2 species